AGUCUUAUAGUCAAAUUAUGAUAUUAAAUUGCAAAUUUAAGGGUAAUAUAAAAUUAUUUAAGGCUU
rnacentral:tRNA from 1 species